AUUGUUCUCGACUUCUUAUUCCUUUCUUCGCAAGUCUCUUCUUCAGAAAUUUGUUGAGUUUGAUAUCUGCAACUCCUUUUUCUGGUUGUAGGUUUUGGAACCAAACAUGUUUGAUCAAUCUCCAUAUUGGAAAAGGAUUGAAGUUGUGACAAUUGUUCUUGAGUGUAAAAGUGAGGAGCUAGAAUGGAAACAAUAACAUUCAAGUGAUUUAGCUUUAUAGGUACCGAAGAAAUACUCUCACAUAACCCAUCUUUCAUUUUUGCUAACAAAUCCUUAAUCUCUUUCAUUCGUUCACUCAUCUUCAGAAUUAUGGAACUAACAACUCUUACUUCAGAAUUAUGUGACAAGUCAACAGGAACUGGUUACUAUAUAUAGGUUGUAAAUUAGAUUAGAUUUGAUUAGAUGUGGAGUAAAUAGAUUCAAUUUGAUUUGAUUGUUAAAUAGAUACAAUAUGGAUAUUUAAUAAUAUUUUCAAGUAAGAUAAGAUGAUUCUUU
rnacentral:lncRNA from 1 species